rnacentral:rRNA from 1 species
GCAAGUCGAGCGGAAACGAGAUAUCUGAACCUUCGGGGAACGAUAUCGGCGUCGAGCGGCGGACGGGUGAGUAAUGCCUGGGAAAUUGCCCUGAUGUGGGGGAUAACCAUUGGAAACGAUGGCUAAUACCGCAUAAUAGCUUCGGCUCAAAGAGGGGGACCUUCGGGCCUCUCGCGUCAGGAUAUGCCCAGGUGGGAUUAGCUAGUUGGUGAGGUAAGGGCUCACCAAGGCGACGAUCCCUAGCUGGUCUGAGAGGAUGAUCAGCCACACUGGAACUGAGACACGGUCCAGACUCCUACGGGAGGCAGCAGUGGGGAAUAUUGCACAAUGGGCGCAAGCCUGAUGCAGCCAUGCCGCGUGUGUGAAGAAGGCCUUCGGGUUGUAAAGCACUUUCAGUCGUGAGGAAGGUAGUGUGUUUAAUAGAUGCAUUAUUUGACGUUAGCGACAGAAGAAGCACCGGCUAACUCCGUGCCAGCAGCCGCGGUAAUACGGAGGGUGCGAGCGUUAAUCGGAAUUACUGGGCGU